rnacentral:rRNA from 1 species
UAAUACGUAGGGUGCGAGCGUUAAUCGGAAUUACUGGGCGUAAAGCGUGCGCAGGCGGUUAUGCAAGCCAGACGUGAAAGCCCCGGGCUUAACCUGGGAAUGGCGUUUGGGACUGCAUGGCUAGAGUACGUCAGAGGGGGGUGGAAUUCCACGUGUAGCAGUGAAAUGCGUAGAGAUGUGGAGGAACACCGAUGGCGAAGGCAGCCCCCUGGGAUGAUACUGACGCUCAGGCACGAAAGCGUGGGGAGCAAACAGGAUUAGAUACCCUGGUAGUCCACGCCCUAAACGAUGUCGACUAGUUGUUGGGGAACUUGAUUCUUCAGUAACGCAGCUAACGCGUGAAGUCGACCGCCUGGGGAGUACGGUCGCAAGAUUA